rnacentral:lncRNA from 1 species
AAGAGAUGCACAGCUGGGCUUUCAGGCACGUAUUUCAUUUAGUCAUCAUGACAACUCUAUGACAGAUGGCUUACUAACAUUACCAUUUAAUGGUAGAAACUGAAACAAUGUGAUAAUGCCGGUGCUCACGUGGCUACAGUGGCCACAGUUCAAGCUCAGAGUCAUUUAUUUCUAAGUCCUUUGCUCAGGUCACUCUUCUAAACUCCUGGAGCAUCGCUCUGAACUUUUUGCUACCUCAGUACUGGAGUAAUCAAAGUAAACCCUUCACAUGGCUGUAGAACAUAAAUUCCUAAAGGGACACAGACCGGCCUGGGUGCUGAGUGGCCAACCUGCUCCCUGAAAGCAGGAAAAGGCGGAGGAUGAUUCCAUUCCCAGGCCGACAUUCAGCAUUGCUCACAGCUCUGGUUUCAGGAGGUGGCAAUAUAAUUAAAAAAUACGCUUACCUAAAGUGGUGUUAAUGGAUGACUGGCUGGUUUCUUAGGACUUGUAAGGACAAUGAGGAUGAGGUUUGUUUGUUCUGUUCUAGUGGGUCUUUUCCUCUCAAAGCAGUCAGAGCGAGUGAGCCAACAGUGCUGUGCCAGCCUUUUCCUUUGAGCUGUUGGGGAUGGAACCCAGCUUCUUAAGCAUGAGCACCCCUUCCCCUCAAGGGAUCUACCUCUGAAUUAUGGUCCCAGCUCCUUCCCAGGCAUUUUAAGGCAGUUUAAUACUUGGUUUUCUAUUUUUUCUUUCUCCCAUAAUUGUCUCUUUGUUUAAAUGAAUAUUUAUUCGGUUUCCUGACAUGCAGCACAGAUAAAAGUGAGGCUGGUGCCCAUUUAAGUUUUCAUUUGAGGGGAUUCUGAAAGGAGCCCAGCACCCUGAACUCCUUCCCUGCCACAGAAGACCUUCCUUAAGACAGCAUUCAAACACAUCUUGGAAGUGGGAGGGCCACACACCAGAAGGCAAACACUGGAAGAAGAGCCCGGUGCUGAAGAUCUGGUCCUGCCAGUGGUUAAUUGUGUAACCUUCAGGAACAUAGUUAAGCCAUGUGUUUUUCCAGUGAUAAAAUUAUACUUUCCCUCUCCAACCUCCAAGUUGCUAUGAUAAAUACAAAGGUGUUUAUAAAUAAUGAGCUUUAUAUAAACAUGUAGAGCGAAUGCCUCAUUGCAUUUAUAUACCAACAAUAUUGGUUGAUGUGGAUAGAACUUUGUAAUCUAACAAGCAAAAAUAACCAAAGGUGCUGUGCUUAAAACCUUCUGGGGUCUUUGUUUUUGCACUGAUAUAGAAUGCAUAUAAGGAUACUGAAAUGAAAUGAGUAUUUUUAGUGCAUGUAAAUAGGGCAGUGCCAAGUUUUCUGGCCAUCUGUUGUAAGGAAAUAUUUGUCAUUGGGAAGUUUGUCAUUUAGUCCUGAAGACAAGUCUGUAGACUAAGGAAGAAAGCAAGUCUGGGAUACAAUAUUUCCAAGCAGUUAUUAAAAUCCAUCCCACAAACCCUCUGGAAACGAUCACUUGAAUUAAGUGUCAUCACCAUCCACCACAGACUGUUGAUUGUUUUGGAGACAAGGUAGAAACUCAUGAGAUGAAAGUGGGCUUGCAAAGGAGCCAACACUGUUCAAAUGUUGUUUUCCCCUUGACAAAUGCAGCUAUUGGGACCAUGCUUUCAUGAACUAACCUGGCAAGUAAAAACAAAAAACAAAACAAAACAAAACAAAAAACUCAGUGGUUUUGUGUCAUUGGUUUAAAUAGUGCAGGGUUUCUCAUGGAAAAAAACAAAACAAUAAAACCUUAAGUUAGACUGUACAGACUGCAUAGCUGUUAAUAUAACUUUACUGAUUUUGUAGAGGAUUGGAAUUCUGAUUUCCAAACCCACAG